AGCUCCAAUAGCGUAUAUUAAAGUUGUUGCGGUUAAAAGCUCGUAGUUGGAUUUCUGUUGAGGAUAACCGGUCCGAACGAUGUUCGUGUAUCUGGCUUAGCCUCGGCAUCCUCUCGGAAUACGUUUCUGCGCUUGAUUGCGUGGUGCGGACUCCGGGACUUUUACUUUGAGGAAAUUAGAGUGUUCACGGCAGGCCUUUGCCCUGAAUAUAUUAGCAUGGAAUAAUAAUAUAGGAUCUCGGUUCUAUUUUGUUGGUUUCUAGAAUCAAGAUAAUGACCAAUAGGGACAAUUGGGGGCAUUCGUAUCAACACGUCAGAGGUGGAAUUCUUGGAUUGUGUUGCGACGAACUACUGCGAAAGCAUUUGCCAAGGAUGUUUUCA
rnacentral:rRNA from 1 species